rnacentral:rRNA from 1 species
CCUACGGGUGGCUGCAGUGGGGGAUAUUGCACAAUGGGGGGAACCCUGAUGCAGCGACGCCGCGUGGGUGAAGGAGCGUUUCGGCGCGUAAAGCCCUAUCGGCAGGGAAGAAGGAGGACGGUACCUGACUAAGAAGCCCCGGCUAACUACGUGCCAGCAGCCGCGGUAAUACGUAGGGGGCAAGCGUUAUCCGGAUUUAUUGGGUUUAAAGGGUGCGCAGGCGGGAGAUCAAGUCAGCGGUAAAAUGUCGGGGCUCAACCCCGGCCGGCCGUUGAAACUGGUUUUCUAGAGUUGGAGAGAAGUAUGCGGAAUUCGUGGUGUAGCGGUGAAAUGCAUAGAUAUCACGAAGAACUCCGAUUGCGAAGGCAGCAUACCGGCUCCAUACUGACGCUGAGGCACGAAAGCGUGGGGAUCGAACAGGAUUAGAUACCCUUGUAGUC